rnacentral:rRNA from 1 species
GAUGAACGCUGGCGGCGUGCCUAAUACAUGCAAGUCGAGCGAACAGAUGAGUAGCUUGCUCCUCUGACGUUAGCGGCGGCCGAGUGAGUAACAAGUCGAUAACAUACUUCUAAGACUGGCAUAACAUCCGGAAACCGGAGCUACUACCGGAUAAUAUAUUGAACCUCUUGCUUCAAUGGUGAGAGACGGAUUUUCUGUCGGUUAUAGAUGGACUCGCGGCGGAUUAGCUAGUUGGUGAGGUAACGGCGUACCAAGGCGGCGAUGCGUAGCCGACCUGAGAGGGUGGUCGGCCGUCACGGAAGGGAGACGCGACCGAGAAUCCUACGGGGGGCAGCAGUAGGGAGUCAUCCGGAAUGGGCGGAGGCCGGAUGGUGCAACGCCGCGGCGGGAAGGAUGGUCGCCUGAGGGUUGAACACUGUUUUUGGGGAAGAAGAAAGGUUGAAGUGUUUAUGCGCGGGUUGACGGUAGCUGGACAGAAAGCGACGGCUAACUACGUG